rnacentral:miRNA from 1 species
UGGACAACAAGAUAAAGGCGU